GAUGAACGCUUGCGGCGUGCUUAACACAUGCAAGUCGAACGGAAAGGCUCCUGCUUGCAGGAGUACUCGAGUGGCGAGCGGGUGAGUAACACGUGGGUGAUCUGCCCUGCACUUCGGGAUAAGCCUGGGAAACUGGGUCUAAUACCGGAUAGGACGAUGGUUUGGAUGCCAUUGUGGAAAGUUUUUCGGUGUGGGAUGAGCUCGCGGCCUAUCAGCUUGUUGGUGGGGUAAUGGCCUACCAAGGCGUCGACGGGUAGCCGGCCUGAGAGGGUGUACGGCCACAUUGGGACUGAGAUACGGCCCAGACUCCUACGGGAGGCAGCAGUGGGGAAUAUUGCACAAUGGGCGCAAGCCUGAUGCAGCGACGCCGCGUGGGGGAUGACGGCCUUCGGGUUGUAAACUCCCUUCGCUAGGGACGAAGCGUUAUGUGACGGUACCUGGAGAAGAAGCACCGGCUAACUACGUGCCAGCAGCCGCGGUAAUACGUAGGGUGCGAGCGUUGUCCGGAAUUACUGGGCGUAAAGAGCUCGUAGGUGGUUUGUCGCGUCGUUUGUGUAAGCCCGCAGCUUAACUGCGGGACUGCAGGCGAUACGGGCAUAACUUGAGUGCUGUAGGGGAGACUGGAAUUCCUGGUGUAGCGGUGGAAUGCGCAGAUAUCAGGAGGAACACCGAUGGCGAAGGCAGGUCUCUGGGCAGUAACUGACGCUGAGGAGCGAAAGCAUGGGUAGCGAACAGGAUUAGAUACCCUGGUAGUCCAUGCCGUAAACGGUGGGCGCUAGGUGUGAGUCCCUUCCACGGGGUUCGUGCCGUAGCUAACGCAUUAAGCGCCCCGCCUGGGGAGUACGGCCGCAAGGCUAAAACUCAAAGGAAUUGACGGGGGCCCGCACAAGCGGCGGAGCAUGUGGAUUAAUUCGAUGCAACGCGAAGAACCUUACCUGGGCUUGACAUACACCAGACCGGGCCAGAGAUGGUCUUUCCCUUUGUGGUUGGUGUACAGGUGGUGCAUGGUUGUCGUCAGCUCGUGUCGUGAGAUGUUGGGUUAAGUCCCGCAACGAGCGCAACCCUUGUCUUAUGUUGCCAGCACGUUAUGGUGGGGACUCGUGAGAGACUGCCGGGGUUAACUCGGAGGAAGGUGGGGAUGACGUCAAAUCAUCAUGCCCCUUAUGUCCAGGGCUUCACACAUGCUACAAUGGUCGGUACAACGCGUCUGCGAGCCUGUGAGGGUGAGCUAAUCGCUGUAAAGCCGGUCGUAGUUCGGAUUGGGGUCUGCAAUUCGACCCCAUGAAGUCGGAGUCGCUAGUAAUCGCAGAUCAGCAACGCUGCGGUGAAUACGUUCCCGGGCCU
rnacentral:rRNA from 1 species